AUUGAACACUGGCGGCGUGCCUAACACAUGCAAGUCGAGCGGUAACAGGGUGUAGCAAUACAUGCUGACGAGCGGCGAACGGGUGAGUAAUGCUUCGGAAUCUACCCAAUGGUGGGGAAUAACCAGCCGAAAGGUUGGCUAAUACCGCAUACGUCCCACGGGAGAAAGCAGGGGAUCGCAAGACCUUGCGCCAAUGGAUGAGCCGAAGUCGGAUUAGCUAGNGGUAGGUAACGGCCUACCAAGGCGACGAUCCGUAGCUGGUCUGAGAGGACGACCAGCCACACUGGGACUGAGACACGGCCCAGACUCCUACGGGAGGCAGCAGUGGGGAAUAUUGGACAAUGGGGGAAACCCUGAUCCAGCGACGCCGCGUGUGUGAAGAAGGCCUGCGGGUUGU
rnacentral:rRNA from 1 species